rnacentral:rRNA from 2 species
CCUGGCGGCUUUAGCGCGGUGGUCCCACCUGACCCCAUGCCGAACUCAGAAGUGAAACGCCGUAGCGCCGAUGGUAGUAUGGGGUCUCCCCAUGCGAGAGUAGGGAACUGCCAGGC